rnacentral:rRNA from 1 species
UACAGAGGUCCCAAGCGUUGUUCGGAAUUACUGGGCGUAAAGGGCUCGUAGGCGGCCAACUAAGUCAGACGUGAAAUCCCUCGGCUUAACCGGGGAACUGCCUCUGAUACUGGAUGGCUUGAGAUUGGGAGAGGGAUGCGGAAUUCCAGGUGUAGCGGUGAAAUGCGUAGAUAUCUGGAGGAACACCGGUGGCGAAGGCGGCAUUCUGGACCAACACUGACGCUGAGGAGCGAAAGCCAGGGGAGCAAACGGG